rnacentral:rRNA from 1 species
GCCCUAGUAACGGCGAGUGAAGCGGCAACAGCUCAAAUUUGAAAUCUGGCUCUCGGGCCCGAGUUGUAAUUUGUAGAGGAUGCUUUUGGUGCGGUGCCUUCCGAGUGCCCUGGAACGGGACGCCAUAGAGGGUGAGAGCCCCGUCUGGUUGGAUGCCAAUCCUCUGUAAAGCUCCUUCGACGAGUCGAGUAGUUUGGGAAUGCUGCUCUAAAUGGGAGGUAUAUGUCUUCUAAAGCUAAAUACCGGCCAGAGACCGAUAGCGCACAAGUAGAGUGAUCGAAAGAUGAAAAGCACUUUGAAAAGAGAGUUAAAAAGUACGUGAAAUUGUUGAAAGGGAAGCGUUUAUGACCAGACUUGGGCUUGGUUAAUCAUCCAGGGUUCUCCCUGGUGCACUUUUCCAGUCCAGGCCAGCAUCAGUUUGCUUCGGGGGAUAAAGGCUUCGGGAAUGUGGCUCUCUCCGGGGAGUGUUAUAGCCCGUUGCGUAAUACCCUGGGGCGGACUGAGGUACGCGCUUCUGCAAGGAUGCUGGCGUAAUGGUCAUCAACGACCCGUCUUGAAACACGGACCAAGGAGUCGUCUUCGUAUGCGAGUGUUCGGGUGUCAAACCCCUACGCGUAAUGAAAGUGAACGCAGGUGAGAGCUUCGGCGCAUCAUCGACCGAUCCUGAUGUUCUCGGAUGGAUUUGAGUAAGAGCAUACGGGGCCGGACCCGAAAGAAGGUGAACUAUGCUUGUAUAGGGUGAAGCCAGAGGAAACUCUGGUGGAGGCUCGCAGCGGUUCUGACGUGCAAAUCGAUCGUCAAAUAUGAGCA